UCUCUCUCUCUCUCUCUCUCUCUUGCUCUCUCUCUCUCUCUGCUAGAAUUAACAGGGAACUUCAACUCGACGCUCCCAAUGCUGAUCUUGAAGAAGCUGUCAAGGAGGCUGAACAAGUCCUUCAAAGGUUCAACCCUUCACAGCUGAAAGGGAAGACCAAAUGAAGGCCUGUCAUGGGAUUUGAAUUUGACCAUCUUGUGCGUUUAUGGAGAAGACCAAAAGCUGCAAAGGCAAACACUUCCAAUGGAUUUCUCACAGAUUACUUAGUACUUCUCCAUCAACUCUCCACAAUAUCAGCCCCUCCAAAAGCUUCC